CCCCAGUAACGGCGAGUGAAGCGGCAAGAGCUCAAAUUUGAAAUCUGGCCUCCCCCGGGGGCCCGAGUUGUAAUUUGCAGAGGAUGCUUCGGGUGCGGCCGCCGUCUAAGUUCCUUGGAACAGGACGUCAGAGAGGGUGAGAAUCCCGUCUUGGGCGGGCGGUCCGCGCCCGUGUGAAGCUCCUUCGACGAGUCGAGUUGUUUGGGAAUGCAGCUCUAAGCGGGUGGUAAAUUUCAUCUAAAGCUAAAUAUUGGCCGGAGACCGAUAGCGCACAAGUAGAGUGAUCGAAAGGUUAAAAGCACCUUGAAAAGGGAGUUAAACAGCACGUGAAAUUGUUGAAAGGGAAGCGCUUGCGGCCAGACUCGGGGGCGGGGUUCAGCGGGUGCUCGUCGCCCGUGUAUUCCUCGUCUCCCGGGCCAGCAUCAGUUUCGACGGCCGGUCAAAGGCCCCCGGAAUGUGUCGUCUCUCGGGACGUCUUAUAGCCGGGGGUGCAAUGCGGCCCGUCGGGACUGAGGAACGCGCUCCGGCUCGGAUGC
rnacentral:rRNA from 1 species